rnacentral:rRNA from 1 species
AUUGAACGCUGGCGGCAUGCCUUACACAUGCAAGUCGAACGGCAGCGCGGACUUCGGUCUGGCGGCGAGUGGCGAACGGGUGAGUAAUACAUCGGAACGUACCCUGUUGUGGGGGAUAACUAGUCGAAAGAUUAGCUAAUACCGCAUACGACCUGAGGGUGAAAGUGGGGGACCGCAAGGCCUCACGCAGCAGGAGCGGCCGAUGUCUGAUUAGCCAGUUGGUGGGGUAAAGGCCCACCAAGGCGACGAUCAGUAGCUGGUCUGAGAGGACGAUCAGCCACACUGGGACUGAGACACGGCCCAGACUCCUACGGGAGGCAGCAGUGGGGAAUUUUGGACAAUGGGGGCAAGCCUGAUCCAGCAAUGCCGCGUGUGUGAAGAAGGCCUUCGGGUUGUAAAGCACUUUUGUCCGGAAAGAAAUCGCGCUGGUUAAUACCUGGCGUGGAUGACGGUACCGGAAGAAUAAGCACCGGCUAACUACGUG